AGUAGGCUUUCAGCGCUCGCUGGCAGAGCAUCGAGCGGACGCAGUCGUCGGUCGUAAAGCGGACAAUACCAACCAUCUCGUCUUCUUCAAAACGCGCCAGCGCAUCGACCAGGCCAGACCUUACGCCAGAGGGUAAAUCACACUGGGUAAUGUCGCCGUUGACGAUAACCGUCACGUUCUCCCCGAGGCGGGUC
rnacentral:antisense_RNA from 1 species